rnacentral:tRNA from 1 species
UGGGGUAUAGCCAAACGGUAAGGCAGCGGACUCUGGAUCCGCCAUUUGUUGGUUCGAAUCCAGCUACCCCAGCCA